rnacentral:piRNA from 1 species
UGAAGUCCCUCAGUGUGUUUAGAACUGUCC